rnacentral:lncRNA from 1 species
CAGUGCAAGCCAUCAUGCUCCCAUUGGGAGCCCAACAUGUAACGCCGCUAAGGCGGCCCUUGGCUCACCGGGCCAACGGUUAUCGUACCAACGGUACAUCCAAGAACUAUUCAUAAUCCUUCAAUAUUAAACGGUAUGUAUCAAUACCACCUUUUUAUCGUUGGAUAAUUAUCUUCGUAACUGUUUCGCCAACUGCCGAGCUUUGUUACGGUUUGGUAUCGAGACCAUUGUAACACAGCAAAGGCGUAACCCAGGAUGCUCAGAUUGGCCUUGCGUCGUUACACAACAUGCUUCAAGGUUCUCCUGUGCAUGUCAUUUACUUUAAACAUCAUUGAACGAGCUUGCAUGACACGCUGAUAUUGCCUUGCACCUAUCAGGCUGCCGGCAUGUCAAUUAUAUUGCCGCCUGCAUGGCGCACCGUAGCUCCCCAUCUGCAAUAAGGCAAGAAUUUGACGACCGCUUUACUCAGAAAGGUCUCUGAGCAAACAAAAGCAGAACUAUGAGGAAAAGGGUUAUUUCGUGGCCAUCCCAUGCCUACCAGCAUAAACGGGAUAACGAACAAAAGCAAAACGAUACUGUGGUGAUUCUUUUCAUCCAAAGCAAAUCUCACAAGAGUGGAGCCGCGAGCGCAGAUCGUUAUGGCAUACAUGCAUGCAGCGCUUUCGAGGAUUGCCGUGCUACUCUCAUUGCACUACUGAAAACCAUUUUCUCAGCAGUCGUCCAAGGCUGCUUGUUGGGCC